rnacentral:rRNA from 1 species
ACAGGUGCUGCAUGGCUGUCGUCAGCUCGUGUCGUGAGAUGUUCGGUUAAGUCCGCUAACGAGCGCAACCCUCGCUGUGUGUUUAUAUGUGUCACACGGGACUGCCGGGUCUUAAGCCGGAGGAAGGUGGGGAUGAUGUCAAGUCAGCAUGGCCUUUUAUAUUCCUGGGCUACACACACGCUACAAUGGCCAACACAAUAGGUUGCUAAGCCGCGAGGUGGCGCCAAUCCAUAAAGUUGGUCUCAGUUCAGAUUGUAGGCUGCAACCCGCCUGCAUGAAGAUGGAGUUGCUAGUAACCGCAGGUCAGCUAUACUGCGGUGAAUACGUUCCCGGGGCUU